rfam:Schistosoma curassoni strain Dakar, Senegal genome assembly, scaffold: SCTD_scaffold0001525
GCACUGCUGAAGAGUCCCACAAUAGGACGAAACGGUCGUUCAUUGC